rnacentral:rRNA from 1 species
AGAGUUUGAUCAUGGCUCAGGACGAACGCUGGCGGCACGCUUAACACAUGCAAGUCGAACGAGAGAAGAGGAGCUUGCUUUUCUGAUCUAGUGGCGGACGGGUGAGUAACACGUGAGCAAUCUGCCUUUCAGAGGGGGAUACCGAUUGGAAACGAUCGUUAAUACCGCAUAACAUAAUUGAACCGCAUGAUUUGAUUAUCAAAGAUUUAUCGCUGAAAGAUGAGCUCGCGUCUGAUUAGCUAGUUGGUAAGGUAACGGCUUACCAAGGCGACGAUCAGUAGCCGGACUGAGAGGUUGAUCGGCCACAUUGGGACUGAGACACGGCCCAGACUCCUACGGGAGGCAGCAGUGGGGAAUAUUGCACAAUGGAGGAAACUCUGAUGCAGCGAUACCGCGUGAGGGAAGAAGGUUUUAGGAUUGUAAACCUCUGUCUUCAGGGACGAAAAAAGACGGUACCUGAGGAGGAAGCUCCGGCUAACUACGUGCCAGCAGCCGCGGUAAUACGUAGGGAGCGAGCGUUGUCCGGAAUUACUGGGUGUAAAGGGAGCGUAGGCGGGAUCGCAAGUCAGAUGUGAAAACUAUGGGCUUAACCCAUAAACUGCAUUUGAAACUGUGGUUCUUGAGUGAAGUAGAGGUAAGCGGAAUUCCUAGUGUAGCGGUGAAAUGCGUAGAUAUUAGGAGGAACAUCAGUGGCGAAGGCGGCUUACUGGGCUUUAACUGACGCUGAGGCUCGAAAGCGUGGGGAGCAAACAGGAUUAGAUACCCUGGUAGUCCACGCCGUAAACGAUGAUUACUAGGUGUGGGGGGACUGACCCCUUCCGUGCCGCAGCAAACGCAAUAAGUAAUCCACCUGGGGAGUACGACCGCAAGGUUGAAACUCAAAGGAAUUGACGGGGGCCCGCACAAGCAGUGGAGUAUGUGGAUUAAUUCGAAGCAACGCGAAGAACCUUACCAGGUCUUGACAUCGUAUGCAUAGCUCAGAGAUGAGUGAAAUCUCUUCGGAGACAUAUAGACAGGUGGUGCAUGGUUGUCGUCAGCUCGUGUCGUGAGAUGUUGGGUUAAGUCCCGCAACGAGCGCAACCCUUACUGUUAGUUGCUACGCAAGAGCACUCUAGCAGGACUGCCGUUGACAAAACGGAGGAAGGUGGGGAUGACGUCAAAUCAUCAUGCCCCUUAUGACCUGGGCCUCACACGUACUACAAUGGCUGUCAACAGAGGGAAGCAAAGCCGCGAGGUGGAGCGAACCCCUAAAAGCAGUCUUAGUUCGGAUUGUAGGCUGCAACCCGCCUACAUGAAGUCGGAAUUGCUAGUAAUCGCAGAUCAGCAUGCUGCGGUGAAUACGUUCCCGGGCCUUGUACACACCGCCCGUCACGCCAUGGGAGUCGGUAACACCCGAAGCCUGUAGUCUAACCGCAAGGAGGACGCAGUCGAAGGUGGGAUUGAUGACUGGGGUGAAGUCGUAACAAGGUA